rnacentral:lncRNA from 1 species
CUGGGAAAUGCCGUAGCCUACUUUCUAACUACCUCUAACCACACUGACCUGUUUGUGGAGUGCCUUUCCCUGAAACUCACUCUUGAGCCAGGGAAUACCCAUUUGUCCAUUCUCCUUCCAGAGCUAAAGAGUUCUUACUACUUCAUUUCAACUCAGUUGCUGAGGAUAGGGAGAGUUGGUUAAGGUCUUGAUAUGGGUAGAAGAGCUUUGUUAACAUCCAAACAUCUAAAGACCUUGGAUGAGGGAGAUUCUUCUUCCUGAAAUGGAUAAACCCAGGCUCCAUUCAUGUGACAUACAGUCCAAUUCCCACAGUUUUUGCAGUUUCCCGGAGGCCAAUAUCUUUUUCCUACACCUUUAAAUGUAUGCAGGUUGGAGUAUAUCGUUUCACUGAGUAAGCCUUGAGAGGAGGCAUAGUUUCAAUAUAUUCACCCAUGUUGUGGAGACAUCGAGAUGCAGCUCCCAGGCAGGAUCAAUCAUGCCUCAGAUGUUCCUGGUAUCGUGGGAAUAACGAUCUUGUGGUAUCUUGCAAAGUGGAAAUUGAGGUAAUGCAUAUUCAUAUCUAUAUAAGGAUUAAUAAAGCUUGCAAAUGU